AGCGAACGCUGGCGGCAGGCUUAACACAUGCAAGUCGAACGCCCCGCAAGGGGAGUGGUAGACGGGUGGAUAACACGUGGGAACGUACCCUUUGGUUCGGAACAACUUGGGGAAACUCAAGCUAAUACCGGAUAAGCCCUUAUGGGGAAAGGUUUACUGCCGAAGGAUCGGCCCGCGUCUGAUUAGCUAGUUGGUGAGGUAAUGGCUCACCAAGGCGACGAUCAGUAGCUGGUCUGAGAGGAUGAUCAGCCACACUGGGACUGAGACACGGCCCAGACUCCUACGGGAGGCAGCAGUGGGGGAUAUUGGACAAUGGGGGCAACCCUGAUCCAGCCAUGCCGCGCGAGUGAUGAAGGCCUUAGGGUUGUAAAGCUCUUUUACCCGGGACGAUAAUGACUGUACCGGGAGAAUAAGCCCCGGCUAACUUCGUGCCAGCCGCCGCCGUAA
rnacentral:rRNA from 1 species